rnacentral:rRNA from 1 species
ACGCUCGACAGUGUCAGCCGCCGCGGUAAUACGAAGGGGGCUAGCGUUGUUCGGAAUUACUGGGCGUAAAGCGCACGUAGGCGGAUAUUUAAGUCAGGGGUUGAAAUCCCAGAGCUCAACUCUGGAACUGCCUUUGAUACUGGGUAUCUUGAGUAUGGGAAGAGGUAAGUGGAAUUCCGAGUGUAGAGGUGAAAUUCGUAGAUAUUCGGAAGAACACCAGUGGCGAAGCGGNUUACUGGUCCAUUACUGACGCUGAGGUGCGAAAGCGU